UUAUGAUGAUACCCAUGAGCUGGCACCAGUCCUAGAAAGAUUUGUACUCUGUUUUAUGCGGAAUGCUUAACCGGGCUAGAAAAAAGCCCAUCUGAA
rnacentral:snoRNA from 1 species